UAUCAAUAAAUGGACCAAUCCAUGGGGAUCUAAGAAGGAAAGAGGAUGUAUGAAUGAGAAGUCAAUAAAGACUGAAAAAAUUCUCCUGAAUAUUACCUUAUCAGGAAACCCUUACUCACAGGGCUUCUAAUUUGCACUCCAUAGCAAUCCCUGACUCUCAACCCUUCUGACACUCGCUGUCCAGGUGAACCCAUAGCCAAAGCCAAGGACAUAUCAACAAUUUCGACUUGGUCUCUGGUCUCACUGGUCAACAGGCAAGAGCUACAAUAGAAUAUGUACUUGGACUCAGGCUCAGAAAUUACCAAACUGUCAUAACUGACCCAAAGAUGCUUCCCCUGGCACAGGAAUAAGGUAGGGAAUGGUAAAUAAGAGGAAGAGAGAAAGAAGAUCUAGAAGAUGGAAGUCAAAAUGUCACAGCAGGCAGUGUAAAGGGCAGAAACAACCAUUCUAGGUA